GAUGAAGAACGUAGCGAAAUGCGAUAAGUAAUGUGAAUUGCAGAAUUCAGUGAAUCAUCGAAUCUUUGAACGCACAUUGCGCCCGCCAGUACUCUGGCGGGCAUGCCUGUUCGAGCGUCAUUACAACCCUCAGGCCCCCGGGCCUGGCGUUGGGGAUCGGCGGAGCCCCCCGUGGGCACACGCCGUCCCCCAAAUGCAGUGGCGGUCCCGCCGCAGCUUCCAUUGCGUAGUAGCUAACACCUCGCAACUGGAGAGCGGCGCGGCCACGCCGUAAAACACCCAACUUCUGAAUGUUGACCUCGAAUCAGGUAGGAAUACCCGCUGAACUUAAGCAUAUCAAUGAGCGGAGGA
rnacentral:misc_RNA from 1 species